rnacentral:rRNA from 1 species
UACGGGGGGGGCAAGCGUUGUUCGGAAUUACUGGGCGUAAAGGGCUCGUAGGCGGCCAACUAAGUCAGACGUGAAAUCCCCAGGCUUAACCUGGGAACUGCGUCUGAUACUGGAUGGCUUGAAUUCGGGAGAGGGAUGCAGAAUUCCAGGUGUAGCGGUGAAAUUCGUAGAUAUUGGGAGGAACACCAGCGGCGAAGGCGGCGACCUGGUCAGAUACUGACGCUGAGGCGCGAAAGCGUGGGGAGCAAACAGG